UUCUUUGAUUACUUUGAGGCUUAAGGAUAAGUAUGUUACCUACUGAAGCUAGAACCAUUAUGGCAGCUUCAUCAUGGAAUGAUAAUGGGCAGAAGCAGUUUGUACAUGAUGUCUCCCUAUGUGUUUUACGAUCAGAUUUAUUUCCAACCUGGCCUUGGGUGAAUGCUGAAGGGAUCGACUUGGGAUGAGUUAUCACCAAAGUGGCCAAAGGCAUAUCCUGAUGACUAUAGUUUGAGGCUUCUAAGACUUUUCUUAACAAAUAUCCACUUAUUGGGAUUAUACUGUAUAUCAUAUGAGUUCCCAUUAUCAUAGUUGUUCUGUUUCUUUUUUACUUCUAUUAAAUUGGCCUAUGCUCGCUGCAUAUGACUUCUGCUUUCUGUAUGAAAAAUGUAUUAUUGCAGGGGAAA